GACGAACGCUGGCGGCGUGCCUAAUACAUGCAAGUAGAGCGCUGAAGGAGGAGCUUGCUUCUCUGGAUGAGUUGCGAACGGGUGAGUAACGCGUAGGUAACCUGCCUGGUAGCGGGGGAUAACUAUUGGAAACGAUAGCUAAUACCGCAUAAGAGUAGAUGUUGCAUGACAUUUGCUUAAAAGGUGCAAUUGCAUCACUACCAGAUGGACCUGCGUUGUAUUAGCUAGUUGGUGAGGUAACGGCUCACCAAGGCGACGAUACAUAGCCGACCUGAGAGGGUGAUCGGCCACACUGGGACUGAGACACGGCCCAGACUCCUACGGGAGGCAGCAGUAGGGAAUCUUCGGCAAGGGACGGAAGUCUGACCGAGCAACGCCGCGGGAGUGAAGAAGGUUUUCGGAUCGUAAAGCUCUGUUGUAAGAGAAGAACGAGUGUGAGAGUGGUAAGUUCACACUGUGACGGUAUCUUUCCAGAAAGGGACGGCUAACUACGUG
rnacentral:rRNA from 1 species